rnacentral:rRNA from 1 species
UACGAGGGGUCCUAGCGUUGUUCGGAAUCAUUGGGCGUAAAGAGUAUGUAGGCGGCUAGAUAAGUCAGGUGUGAAAGCCCCGGGCUCAACCCGGGAAGUGCAUUUGAUACUGUCUAGCUUGAGUAUGGAAGAGGGUAGUAGAAUUCCUGGUGUAGUGGUGAAAUACGUAGAUAUCAGGAGGAAUACCGGUGGCGAAGGCGGCUACCUGGUCCUAUACUGACGCUGAGAUACGAAAGCGUGGGGAGCAAACAGG